AGUCAUAUGAAGUCGAAAGGUCUGGGAAGGCCAACCGUAGGGGGUAAUAGUCCCGUAGACGACAAUAUGAGUACUGGCGGUGUAUCCUGAGUACGGCGGAACACGUGGAAUUCCGUCGGAAUCUAGGAGGACCAUCUCCUAAGGCUAAAUACUCUCUAGUGACCGAUAGUGAACCAGUACCGUGAGGGAAAGGUGAAAAGUACCCCGGAAGGGGAGUGAAAGAGAACUUGAAACCGUGUGCUUACAAGUAGUCAGAGCCCG
rnacentral:rRNA from 1 species